GUUCAAAUUUAGAACGUCCUUCUAAAAAGAAAACUGAUUCUUAAACCUCUUUCACGCUCAUGUCACGUCAAGGUACUGUAGAAGAAAAAACUGCAAAAUCCGAUCCAAUUUAUCGUAAUCGAUUAGUUAACAAGUUGGCUAACCGUAUUCUGAAACAUGGAAAAAAAUCAUUGGCUUAUCAAAUUAUCUAUUGAGCAGUGAAAAAGAUUCAAUGAAAGACAGAAACUAUCUACGAUCUGUUUUACGUCAAGCAAUACGUGGAGUAACUCCCGAUAUAGCAGUAAAAGCAAGACGUGUAGGCAGAUCGACUCAUCAAGUUCCCAUUGAAAUAGGGUCUACACAAGGAAAAGCACUUGCCAUUCAUU